AAAUGCUAACAUUCUAUACAGUUAAUUAGCAUUUUAAUAUCUCACAGGAUGCUGACUGGAUGACAUUAUACAGAGAAGCCUCCUAUUGUUCAUAGAGGACUGACACUUCAGUGUAAGACUGGAUAUACCCUAUGUUAGGAUAAGGAUAUAGAUACCCAUGUUCUUGUCUUUACAGGGACAUCAAGUCCCACUAAACCAAAGGAACACAGAAAAGAAGAAUUUCCUGGGAUCAGACUGCACUUCCAGAAUUGAGCUGACACCAGCUCAGUUCUCAGAUUGUGGAUUUUAAUAUCCUGCCUCACAGGAGGCAAGCUGCAAAGAUGAGAAAACAAAACUUAGAAGUUCAGUUGAUGUAAACAUACCUGUUCUGUCAAAACCAGUGAUAAGUACAGCAUGAUUUGCUUUUCCACUGGAGCAGUGAUACUGUAUGAUCCCACCAAGAUAAUCCUGCCAGCUAACUGCAUCUACUGUUACUGCCAAAGGUCCCCAGUCAACAAGUACUCUCAUCAUCUCCUCCUCCUGACCACUGUAGAAGCAGUGAGUGAUAACACAGAGGUUAAAGUUGGCACAGUAAAGCAAUUUGAGAGGCAGUAAUCUACUGAAGUACAAUUUAAUAAUCAAAUAAUUAAGCUUUUUCUUAUGAGUUUUACACAUCACAUAACAUACAUCAAUACAUACACAUUUUAUUCACUACAACACGAGGCACACAAACUAUGGAUCAGGUGCCAGUCCAAUGAUACAACGCUGUUAAAAAGCCUUGGUCAAGUGGGCAAUACUAAGCACCAUGUACAUCUUAUCCCCCACUCCUCUCAAUUAGAAAACACCUGUAUAUUGUUACUGCCCCUUAGUUUUUCAAACAUCCAGAUGAAAUUAACCUCAUAACCUUUGGCUGACUCCAGUUAGUGAACAUUAUAGUGAAAGUACAGCAAAUAAAAAGAAUCAACAGCAGUUACCUGAAAUCAUAUGCAGCAAAUCCUGCUAUUGAAACUCCAAAAUCCGAGUGAGCGAAAUAAUGGCACAGUCCUGUCUGAGCUUUAAAAGUGUACUCUGAAUCUCUCACAAGUUUGACUUUGGUCUGCAAAGAGAUUAAUGAAUGAAUGUGUUUGAUUCAGUCCAGUCAAAAGUGGAUGCUCAAAUCCAAAGAAUGAGCCUUGCAUAAAUGGCCUCUUCUACAGUGGUACUGUACAGCUAUUGCUUCAGUUGAUUUCAAUGGUCAAAGAGUAUGAUUCUUAUCCCUUGUGGGUUGAUUUACUGCAUUCACAAGCAACAUAUACAGAUUGUAAAAUUCAAAUCAAGUUUCAGUUCUGCGUGAAUUAACAAUCCUAGGUUAAAUAAAUAACCAUAUACACACAAACAAAAAUCAGAUGAUCCGUAAAGCACAUAUUCCCUCUUCCCCAUCACUUCUUCCCCUGUAAAAACAAAACGAAACAAGCAAACAAAAACAGUGCAAAAAAAAGGGAUCAAAAUUUAUAGAAAGUUUCAAACCUGAUUCAGCCAGCUCAAAGCAGUUAUUGUGGAACCACCACUGCAACCAUAAUUACUGUACGAGCAAUCGAUAACCUGCUGCACGCUGAGUUCUUCCAGAUUAUUUCCUUUAAUUGCAUAGGCAGACUCUAUACCACCCACAACACUGAAAGCCCAGCAGCCUCCACACUGGAAGAAGAAGAUAGGAAGAAAAAAAAGUCAGCUUUGCUUUUCUAACACCAUAUGGAAAACUGGAAGUAUGAAGAGUUUUCCAACGACCUUCAUUUACCACAUCACUUUUUAUCUUCAUUUUUAUGGCAUUACAAAUAUGGCAUUGUUUUUUAUCCCUACUGUGCUACACUGUGAAAACUAAAAAUGAAUUAAAAGUGUCAUAUUUUAAUGACUCCUUCAUGACUCAUUUUUGCUAACAUUAAAACAGCCCUUUAAAACAGGCCUAGUGACACUUUCUAGUGCUAGAUAUGUAUUUUCUUAAUUAUAGACUGAGACUCGGGCAGAAAUUACUUUUAACCAUGUUAUUACACUUUCGAAAAGGAUGCACUUAAGGAGACAGCCUGUGGUUUUCUGUUGUCUGAAGAAUUUUAUAUAAAUAUACUAGAUUACAACUUAAGCAGCAGUAAACCAAAAUUAAAUGGGAGUAAAAAAAAUUCUUAAUUGAUAUCACAGCUAGUUUUCUCAACUUUUUAAACCUUGGUGAUUUAAACAGAGAGCACAGAGCUUAUUCCUAGGUUACAUUGCACAAAGGAAAGAUACUGGGAGUUCAAAAGCUGAGUGCUUCUUAUCCUGUUAAGUGUACCAGACGAUCGUAGCCUAUCUGGGAUGUAACCAUUGGGCUCUAUUUUCCUGCCAUGAAAGCACCUCCAUGGAGGAGUUUGGUGGUAAAGGCAUGGGUCUUGACUAGCCAUGGGCACUCCCAACAGAUCUGUAACCAGGAGUACAGAGGACAAGAGGUCAAGUACUGAACACGCUUCAGUCUCCAGAAAAAAUAAAAAUUAAAAAAAAUAAAUAAAUCACAAAGCACUCACGGUGCAAAAUAUCCGCAGACUUUACCCCCAAAAUGUAUUAAACACAAUUAAUCACUGUACCAUUAACAACUUUUACCUGCAGUGCUUUAUACCUAAGCCCACUCUUCAUAGAAGGCUGUUAUCAGUACACAGAGCUCAGAGUCUUGAGGCAGCGCUGAUCCUUCUCUGUCCUUCACUGUGCUCUAUGAUGUACCUCCCAGAACUGUCUCUAACCUGUGCUUGAGAAUCAGCAAAAGGAAAUCACCGCCACUUACUGUCUGCUGAUUUCUCACUUCUGCAAUGACUUUCUUGUCCCUCCAGUCAAACUUCUUUGGCAAAGGUUUUUCCUUUCCCUUUGGCACUUUUAUGUAUCUGGGGAGUUUGUGAGGUAUGCUUCUUAAGUAAAUAGCUGAACAUGGAACACAAACAUUUAUAAAUCUGCUUAAACAAAUGACAAAAACAAAUAAACAACACAAACCCAACCCGUUUUACUAGAAACCAUAAUGGUAACUUUGAUCUGUAGUCACAACCAUGAAAUGGCACAGGAUUCUCAAAUCCAUAGAGCAGCCGUCAUAGUCCAGAACUAAUUUAAAUAUUCUUACAGUUUCAGAAAGAACAGAAAUAUGCCAUGUGGGAAACAUGAAGACAAUUUUGUACCUUUGAAUUCUUCAGGAAAGAGGUCUGUGUUGUAUCUAUUUCCAGGAGAAAAUAAGACGUUCAGAGCAGCAAGUCAGAGAAGAAUUCAGCUUUUUCAAAGGCUUCCCUUUCAGAAGUAGGACUAAGUCUGAAAGAGCCUGAUGUACCUACAAGUGUGUGCAGACUAAGAACUGACAGAAGUUGCUGGAUCCAGUUGCAUUUCCUUGGUCUUACAAAUGCAUUACUGGAAGAGGAAGUAAGAACAGGGAGUCAGCACCAUGUGGCCAUUCUGCUGUCUUUGAAUGGUUGAUGUGUUCCAGAGAUCAUUCUGGUAAAUGUCUUGAGGUCAUUCUGCAAGGUCUUCAUAGAAGUUCAGUUCUGGUCACGAAGUUGUAUUUGGAUGCUGCAAUUUCAAUUUUCAAGAAGACUGGAACAUCUCAGUAAAAUCUCCUUCGGAUGUGUGACAUAUUGUUAAAAUAUGUUAACAUAUUGUUAAAAAAUGUCAUAUGUCCUACCACAAUGCUAUUGUUUCACUCUCAUUGUUUGUAUGGACACAGAAAAAAAACAAUGGAGAAUUAUGCAUUUGGUUUUGGUACCAGACUUCUGAUUGUUGCACUCCUGUCUAGUUAUUCUAUCUAGCUGGUAUACCAGAUAGCAGACAUUAUGAUAUUAAACUCUGUGGGUUGUAUUUAAUAUCUAAAAUAAAAUUUCCAGUACAAUAUAUAUCAUUGCAAAGUGAAUGAAGCAAAUUUGGUGUCUGCUUAUAUAUAUAUAUAUAUAUAUAUACAUAUAGCUUCUUCCAACUCUUCCCCCUCCAUGCAGUAGCUUGAUUUGACUUGGUGGCCAGAAGCUUAUUAGCAUUAAGGAAUAUAGUAUUUUUGAGCCAGAGGAGCAGUGAGAAAUAUUGCUUUCUGCACAUCUGUCAAAGGGCAGAAAGAAUGAAAAAGGGAAGUAAAUGAUAGAAUGUGAAAAAUAAAUUUAAAAAACCCCAACAAAAUAAACAAUAAGACAAACAUAAACCCAACAGGUGCUACGUACUUUAUAUCCUGGCUGUGAGGUGACAGUACCAAGUCUGUACCAAUCAAGUUGCUGUGAUCUUACAAUAUUUGAGAGUUGGUCUGUAGCAGUCUUCCCACAGAUGGCUACCAGCAAAUUCCAGGAUUUAUGAGAUGGUAUGGAGUUACCUAGCCUUCUAUCAUAUCUAUCAUGUCCACGGGUGAAAAUCCUAGUUCUUCUCUGUGUGAUUGAAAGGUUCAGUUGGCCUUUUGUGUUUCCAUUUUGUGUGACAGUAGAGCAAUGAACAACUUUUGUUUUGCCAUGAAGAUGAGCAGCAAUAUGCUCAGGUGUGAGUAAGGGUUGUAGCCCAGGUGUUCACACAAACACCUACAAGGAAGCCAAGUUUGAUAACAAAGUGUAAGAGUGCAGUUUGGAGACCUGAAACUUUGCAGAAGAUAAUUCUAGUGUUCCAGAGGAUGAGCUGAAUGCAUGAAAUCAGUGUGUCUCAGUAAAGGAUGCCAACUGUGGAAAAAGUACAUCAGCUUAAAUGCAUGCAAGACACUCAGUCUUAGGAAAAGAGCUUAUUCUUAAACCUAAUUCUCUGUCAAUGAACCUUAGUUCAUGCGAACAAUAUCAUUUUAACAAAAACUUGGAUUUAUUGCCCUACGCUGUAAGAGCAAGGACAUGAAAAUCUGGUUGAAGGAAGUGAUUAUUCUCUUCUAUUUGGCAUGUGCGAGUUGCUCCUGGAAUACUGUUUAAUUCUGGCUCCCCAGUACAAGAAACACGUUGAUAUACAAGAAUGACUCCGGAGAAAAUAAUGUCAGGGAUACUAGAAUGUGUUGUAUGCAAGGAGCAGCUGAAAGUUGGGUUUGUUUAGCCUGAGGAUAAAACCAUGGGAGGAUCUUACUGCUGUCUGAAAUUAUCUGAUGCUUAGUUUAUCUGAUGCUUAUCUUAGUAAGACAAAACUCAACUCUUCUAGUAGGUGCACAGUGAUAGGACAAGAAGCAUCAUAUCCAUGAUAAAGCAGGUUAAAUCCAAAUUAAUAUAAGGAAAAAGUUUCAUAUUGAGGAUGGUUAGACAAAAGAGCUGAUUAUUUGUGCAGUCUUCAUCUUUGAAGAUACUCAGAACUCAAGUAGAGAACCUCACCUGGUUGUUCCUGUUUUAAACCUUGUGUUCUCCAGAGUAGUUCCAGUGUGUAUUGCUCUUGGAAUCAAAUUUCAUGAUCUGCUAGGAAUGGUAUAAAAAGAAAAAGGGGAAGAAAAAGCACCUCCAGAAAGCCCAGUUGCUGUUUUGCGAGUGGUUAGCCUUAAGGGGUGUGUGACAUAGUUACCUGAUUAUGGAUGCUCAUUCCUCCUUCAGUUAAAUGUACCUUUUAUUUGUCAGAUCAAGCUAAAAUGAAAAAAUGUUCAGUGUAGUCCCAGCCAACAGCUUCAUUUCUCUCCACAUAGCUCUGAGACAUAAAAUUACUUUUCAAUGUUAUAUUUAUUCAGGGAGACUAUUUAUGUUGGAGAAUUCCCUCAGACUUUCUCAGCUUCCACUAGAAAAUAAAUGUAUUCAUUUGUUGUUGUGACACUACCUUUGAGAUGGCAAACAUAUUUUUUUUA